AGACCUGAGGUACUGGAAGGUCCUCAGGCCGAAAGGGGCUCUGCCCGCCCGAGGAUGGGCCGGCGGCCGAUUAGGUAGUUGGUGGGGUAACGGCCCACCAAGCCGAAGAUCGGUACGGGCCAUGAGAGUGGGAGCCCGGAGAUGGACACUGAGACACGGGUCCAGGCCCUACGGGGCGCAGCAGGCGCGAAACCUCCGCAAUGCGGGCAACCGCGACGGGGGGACCCCCAGUGCCGUGGCAACGCCACGGCUUUUCCGGAGUGUAAAAAGCUCCGGGAAUAAGGGCUGGGCAAGGCCGGUGGCAGCCGCCGCGGUAAUACCGGCGGCCCGAGUGGUGGCCGCUAUUAUUGGGCCUAAAGCGUCCGUAGCCGGGCCCGUAAGUCCCUGGCGAAAUCCCACGGCUCAACCGUGGGGCUUGCUGGGGAUACUGCGGGCCUUGGGACCGGGAGAGGCCGGGGGUACCCCUGGGGUAGGGGUGAAAUCCUAUAAUCCCAGGGGGACCGCCAGUGGCGAAGGCGCCCGGCUGGAACGGGUCCGACGGUGAGGGACGAAGGCCAGGGGAGCGAACCGGAUUAGAUACCCGGGUAGUCCUGGCUGUAAAGGAUGCGGGCUAGGUGUCGGGCGAGCUUCGAGCUCGCCCGGU
rnacentral:rRNA from 1 species